GCUCAAGUCAAGAACCUCAUGGCUACGGCGAUGGCGGACGCGGGAGACGAGGCAUUCGACUUCCUCUCAAAUCCGGUUGACAGAUUUCCCCUGCUGGAUCUCGCCGUCGCAGAAUCGUUGAUGGCCGGCGAAGCAAGCCAAACUCUGCUAUGUAUGGCCACUGAGUCGAGCAUUGGUAAUGUCGGCAAUGCUCCGGCGACAUUAGAACUCGAGUUGAACAAUGCUUGCAAUGGGAUGGCCCUGUCCGCGCCAAUUUCAGAGCAUUCCACAGGCAAAGACUCAAGCUUCUGGCUGGACAAAAAGAGUGUUGGUCGUGCACCUGAUGAAACGACCCCCGUGUGUGUUGGCAGGAUGAGUACCCUUGAGAAAACAUUGAGAAGAUAUGCAGAAAAGAAAACAUAGACAGUCAUAGUACCUGCUGUAGGAAGCAACUUUGAUUCACUUGGAGAAGCAUACGAUUACUACAAUCUUUACUCCUGGGAGAUUUGAUUUGGAAUUAGGUAUGGCAAGAGCAGGCUAAACAUCGAGAGAAUAAAAUGCAUGCAGGAGCUAGUGUGUGGUUGCUCUGGAAUCCCAUAGAAGAGUAACACACGGACAUGCCAGUGCAGGUGCCCUGCAAUGAUAUGAUUGCUUUGAUCAAAUGACAAUGGCUGGUAAAUAAGUGAGUACAGACCAACGCAUAACCAUUCGCUUACUGAAAAAUAUGUGGAGGAAGUUUACUGGCCUUCACACAUGCAUAUUGAUAUAUACACCCGUGACGUUGUGAAGCAACUUUGUGAAAAUAAUAUUAGUGUUGUCAAGGUCUACAAUAUAAUUGCUAGUUUGUUUGAUUCAAUGACCAAUGUACUAUUCAGCAAAAGAGCAUCACGAGGGUUGUGUAGCAAGAUUAGUUGAGAACAAGCAGACGAUGAUGUGAUAAAGACAAUGGAUGUUUUUGCUGAGUUGGGAGCGAAGGAUUCUGGGCUCUACUACAGAGUACAACCUGAUGAAUAAGCCGCAUACGGAAUUUGUUAUGGUCAACCUGAAAAAAUGCAGUGCUGAUAGCAGAUUCUACGUUCUGCACUACAUCAGGGAAUUCGAUGGGGUAAAAGUUGCACAUAUCAAGGCGGUGCAGAUGCAGCUUUCUCAUGCACAUCAUGACAUUACUGCGUGCCAGACGUUUUUCGUCCCAGUCAUCCUUGAUCAUGGGUGGGCUGCAUAUAUGUGGGAUAUGUUGAGGAAGGAGAUUUAUGUGUUGGAUCCAUUGUGUGCCCAAGUUGCGGGAGCAGAUCUGCGUCACAUGACCCACCAGGAGGCCGUGUCACUGAUUCACACAGCCUUGUCCAGUUGUGUCAGUGAGUUCUUUGCGAAAUGACAUUGUUCAGCCGAUAGAUGGAAGCGCAAAGUUCUGAAGAUUACCCGUGAUAUACUCACAAGGGAUGAGUCUGGAAUGUUUAUGCUCCAUGCGAUUAGGCAGUAUGAUGGGGACAAGAUGAUGUGGCCGCUGACUAAGAAAAACUUGGCCACUUUCCGUCAAACAGCUGUUUUUGAGGUUUUCGUCUGAUGGAUGAGAAUCAGAAUUUCGUGGCGGACGAUGUGUUACGGGCCACUCUGGAAGAAGACGAGGGAUGAUGGAUAUGCAGUGAUAUGUCAUGUGUGGAAUUCGCUUUUCAACUAGGGAGCCACACUGGUGGAAAAAGGGCCU